AAAUACUGUAGCAAGGCUGAAAGCGAUAACAACAGUAGCAUUCAUUAUGUAUGACGUCAGAUAUUGCAAACCAAGAAUGAUGGCAUGCCCUGGAUUAGUAUCAACUGGAAUUUUAUAAGUUGGAAAUGUUUAUCAAGUAAUCUUCAUAACUUUAUUACAAGAAUUUGAAAUUAUCUACAAGCGUGCAUAAACGUGCAAACCAAGCACUUACAGAAACGGAAUGUAUCACAAAUUGUAUAGAUCAAGGAUAAAUCGGGAAAAUUCAUUGGAUUUCAUGAUUACAUUAUCGAUCUUUUUUAUACAAAGAAGCUUUGCAGUCACAAAAGGAUUUGUUGGAAUAUAUGAAACUGAAAAUUGAUUGAUGAGUUUUCAUAUUCUUCAUCAUUUUUUUAUUUUCCAGACACUAUUGCAAAGAAGCACGGAAUAAAUCAGCUGAAAUGUCCUUAAUGCAUUAUGCUAUUCAUGCGAGACAAAAACAUAAUAUUUAAUUGGAAACUCUAAAUGGAUCAUUUUGAUCUUCGAAUCGAAAUCUUCUGUUUUGUCGAGGAAAAUGCAUAAAAUAUAGGAGGUAGUAGGAGGAGACUUAAAUUGUCCUCAAGUAAUUCAGUAUGUGUAUACUGCUAGUGCAGUUGAAGUCUCCUCUUAACCACCAGUUGAUUCGAUCACAAGAAUAUGAGAAAAUGAAGUACGCCAGGAAUUAAUGUAAAUAAUGAAAAACUCCAACAAAGAAUGAUUAAAAUUUUCGAUAUUAUUUUUUCGAUCCUAGUAGUAUAAAGGGAAGUUGGCCAUGCACCUAUUGGUUUU